UACGUAGGGUGCGAGCGUUAAUCGGAAUUACUGGGCGUAAAGCGUGCGCAGGCGGUUCGCCAAGUCAGGUGUGAAAUCCCCGGGCUCAACCUGGGAACUGCAUCUGUGACUGCAUUGCUGGAGUGCGGCAGAGGGGGAUGGAAUUCCGCGUGUAGCAGUGAAAUGCGUAGAUAUGCGGAGGAACACCGAUGGCGAAGGCAAUCCCCUGGGCCUGCACUGACGCUCAUGCACGAAAGCGUGGGGAGCAAACAGG
rnacentral:rRNA from 1 species